rnacentral:rRNA from 1 species
CCUACGGGCGGCAGCAGUAGGGAAUCUUUCACAAUGGGCGCAAGCCUGAUGGAGCAACGCCGCGUGCAGGAUGAAGGCCUUACGGUUGUUAACUGCUUUUAUAAGCGAGAAAUAUGAUGGUAACUUAUGAAUAAGGAACGGCUAACUACGUGACAGCAGCCGCGGUCAUACGUAGGAUCCGAGCAUUAUCCGGAGUGACUGUGUGUAAAGAGUUGCGUAGGUGGCAUAAUAAGUAGCUAGUGGAAUCUGGUGGCUCAACCAUUCAGACUAUUAGCUAAACUGUUAGUCUUGAGUACGUUAGGGGUAGCUGGAAUUUCUAGUGUAGGAGUGAAAUCCGUAGAUAUUAGAAGGAACACCAAUAGCGUAGGCAGGUUACUGAGACGGUUCUGACACUAAGGCACGAAAGCGUAGGGAGCAAACGGGAUUAGAUACCCCAGUAGUC